rnacentral:tRNA from 1 species
GGUGGGUUAGCUCAGUGGUUAGAGCUUAGGCCUUGUGACCAAGAGGUCCCGGGUUCGAAUCUCCCCAAUCA